ACCUGUUAUGGAACCGGUUAGAACUCAGACUUAGGGCUCCAAACCAAAAGCCCCAAAUCUCUCGACGCUUUCAGCCUUUCUCAGUUUCACUCAUAGUUUCCCCCGGAACUCGCCCUCGACGCCGCGCCGGACGCCGCUGGACGCUAGUCGCCGACGCUGCUCGCCCUAACCCUCAGGUCCCUCGCCGCUCGACGCCAGUCAAAGUCUCUCCCGUUCUCUGCCUCUGCCCGUCGGCGACGCCGCCGCCGGACGCCGCUCGCCCUCGCCGGGGACGCUGCUGAACACCAGUCACCGACGCCGCUCGCCCUAACCUCGCCACUCGACGCCAAUCAGACUCUUAAUAGUUCUCUGCCUCUGCCCGUUGCCGCCGCCGCUCGCCCUCGAUGCCGCCGCCGCCGAACGCCGCUCGCCGGCCCAGUCUCGUUUGAAUCUUCUCCGCUAGUCGUAUCUUCGCUUGUGAACAAUUGUAAAAGCUUUCGAUCACCAGCUCGUAUGCUCGUUGCAGUCCCGGCGUAGCUUAAAAAAUCCAGAUCAGAGGACUAUCAGGGAAGAGACGGCAACUGAUAACCUGGUUCAGAGGACUAUCAGGGAAGAGACGGUAAUUGCACUGUCAUAACCGUUGCUCACCGGAUUCCCACUGUCAUGAGUAUUCAUUUUUAGGUCCUUAAAAGUAGGACUACCAAUUGUGUUCACAGAAAGCUGAAAAUUAUGAGUAUUCAUUUUUCCCCUCUAGUCUCUUAUAAGAUCUGUUUGAAGGACUCGCAAUAUGGGAAAAAUAGGAAUACUCUUUCUUGCAUUUGAACAACGUCAUUAUGAACAGUUUAUUUUGAACAAGCUAUGCGUUCAACAUCUGCUACUUUUAUCCUACAAGUAUUCUAAUUUCAUGGUUAGCUCAGCUUUGAGGUUUCUGUCCAGCAACUUUUAUUGGCGUUGGCUUUUCUUUGUCUUGUUUUCAAUGCUAAAUCUCAUGAAUGCUGGGUUCCCCCUUGCACUUCUUUUGACUUGGCUAGUGUUUUCAGUGUAGCCUGGAAAAUUUACAUGUCAAUCAAAACUAUUUGCUAAAGGCAGUUUCUUGCAUGGUGCCAGCUAAUCAACCAUUUUAUGGCCCUGGAGAACUUUAAUCCGUUACCACAAAUUGCGAUUUCCUAGGUGUGCUGUGUGGACUGUUGGCUAGCAGUCAUUGCUGAAAAUUGAUUUUAAAUCGUUUGCUGUGAACUAUUGUUGUUCAAACCAUUUCAUUUUCUAUGGACUGUUUGCAUUGACAGGUUCAUUCAUGAUAUUCCUUCAGGGAAUUGUAUCUGUAUACAAUGGUAUGGCUAGAUAUAGUUGUGACCUGUAUCUCUUGCAGGUGUAAAAAGAUUCGUAUACAUCUUUGCAGCUGACUUUGGUGUCGUGAAUUAUUUACUCCAGGGAUAUUAUGAGGGAAAGGGAGCUGCUGAAACAGAGCUGCUGACAAAGUUCCCUUAUGGAGGUGAUAUAACUGUUUUUCCUUUACUUGUAAAUAGGCCGUGUUAGGAAUCUGCACACUAAAAGAGCUAAUGAUUUACCAAAGUGCCUUGCAACCCGUACCUGGAUGGAUUUGUAUAGAAUUGGGGUCAAUAACUCUUGAGCGAUUAUCUUAUUGUUGGAUUAAGAUUGAUGUGCUUAUGCAGGCC